rnacentral:rRNA from 1 species
CGCGGGCCUAUCAGCUUGUUGGUGGGGUGAUGGCCCACCAAGGCGACGACGGGUAGCCGGCCUGAGAGGGUGUCCGGCCACACUGGGACUGAGAUACGGCCCAGACUCCUACGGGAGGCAGCAGUGGGGAAUAUUGCACAAUGGGCGCAAGCCUGAUGCAGCGACGCCGCGUGGGGGAUGACGGCCUUCGGGUUGUAAACCUCUUUCAAUAGGGACGAAGCGUAAGUGACGGUACCUAUAGAAGAAGCACCGGCCAACUACGUGCCAGCAGCCGCGGUAAUACGUAGGGUGCGAGCGUUGUCCGGAAUUACUGGGCGUAAAGAGCUCGUAGGUGGUUUGUCGCGUUGUUCGUGAAAACUCACAGCUUAACUGUGGGCGUGCGGGCGAUACGGGCAGACUGGAGUACUGCAGGGGAGACUGGAAUUCCUGGUGUAGCGGUGGAAUGCGCAAAUAUCAGGAGGAACACCGGUGGCGAAGGCGGGUCUCUGGGCAGUAACUGACGCUGAGGAGCGAAAGCGUGGGGAGCGAACAGGAUUAGAUACCCUGGUAGUCCACGCCGUAAACGGUGGGUACUAGGUGUGGGUUUCUUCCUUGGGAUCCGUGCCGUAGCUAACGCAUUAAGUACCCCGCCUGGGGAGUACGG